ACUUUUUGGCUGUUCUGAAGAGUGUUACUGUGAACAUUCAUGCACAAAUUUUUAUGUGGGAUAACUUUUAAGUGGUGAAGAGUAUAAAUCGUGGUUUUCCAAGUGUAGUCUAAGGUCUAACAGCAUCGGGGAUAUCUGGGAAAUUAUCAGAACUACAGACCCUCUGGCUGCACCCCAAACCUGCUGAAUCGGAAAUUCUGAG
rnacentral:lncRNA from 1 species